AUGGCGACCGCGAGAAUAGCCGCCGGGACCUGUUCCGCCAUCGCCGGACAUCGCCUCCGGCCUGCUGCGGUAUCGCCGCUUGUGUCGAACUUGUCUCACUCACACCAUCACAGAAGAAACCAGCCUCUUGGCCUUGCCUCGGCCCGUGCUGCCGAGCAUGGUCUCACCGGAGCACACCGCCCCGAGUUCUUCCCCCAUGACCAUUGCCGUGCUCCUCCCUAUUCGAUGAGCGCGAGGAGGACGCGGACGAUGGCAACUUCCGCUUUAGCGAAGAAGAGUUUGGUAGGAGAAAAUGCAGGCCUGCGAAACAAGGAACGGGAGGCUAGAAUAAGGAAGCAGCUUCAGAAUCCUGAAUUGACACCAUCUCCGUACGACACAGCAUGGGUUGCUAUGGUGCCCUUGCGGGAUUUCCCUAGUGCUCCACACUUCCCUCGGUGCCUUGAAUGGAUAUUGCAAAGCCAACAGGAUAAUGGUUCUUGGGGCAUCAGCGAAUUUGACUUGUCACCCGACAAGUCUACUCUCUUAUCCACAUUGGCGUGUGUUAUUGCACUCAAGAAAUGGAAUGUUGGCCCGGAACACAUCAGGAGAGGACUGCAUUUUAUUGGAAAAAAAUUCUCCUUCUCUAUGGAUGAGCAGAUUGCUACUCCUAUAGGUUUCAAUAUUACUUUUCCUGGUAUGAUUAGGCAAGCCAUUGGAAUGGGCUUGGAAUUUCCAGCGAGACAAACUGAUGUUGAUGGGAUUCUUCACGUCCGGCAGAUGGAAUUGAAAAGACUUGCUGGGGAUAAAUCUGAUGGGAGAGAAGCAUACAUGGCUUAUGUUGCUGAAGGGUUAGGAGUCCCGCUGGACUGGAAUGAACUUAUCAAGUUCCAGAGGAAUAAUGGAUCAUUGUUCAACUCUCCUUCAGCAACUGCUGCUGCUUUAAUCCACAAUUAUGAUGACAAAGCCCUCCAGUACCUGAACUUGCUUGUUAGUAAAUGUGGUAGUUCAGUACCAACAGUGUACCCGACAAAUGUAUAUUGCCAGCUUUCAAUGGUGGAUUCUCUUGAAAAGAUCGGGAUAUCUCACCAUUUUUGUAGUGAGAUAAAGACCAUCUUAAACAUGACAUAUAGUUUGUGGGUACAAAGAGAUGAGGAAAUCAUGCUGGAUGUAGCGACAUGCGCAAUGGCGUUUCGUCAGUUACGGAUGAAUGGAUAUGACGUUUCCUCAGAUGAGCUACGUCAUGUUGAUGAAGCCUCCACUUUUCAUAAUUCACUUCAAGGGUAUUUAAAUGAUACAAAAUCUAUAUUGGAAUUAUACAAGGCAUCAACAGUCAGUGUAGAAGAAAAUGAAUUUAUUCUUGAUAAUAUUAGACACUGGUCAAGCAACUUAUUAAGGGAAAAAUUAAUCCAUGACGGCGUGCAAAGUAGGCCGGUCUUUGCAGAGGUGGAGUAUGCUCUUAAAUUUCCCUUUUAUGCCACAAUGGAACGCCUGGAUCAGAAGUGGAACAUUGAAAACUUUGAUUUGAGGGGUUCGCAGAUGUUGAAGACAGAACAAUUGCCAUGUUGUGUAAACCAAGAUAUUCUAGCCUUGGCUAUUGAAGAUUUCACCUUCUCUCAAUCUAUUUACCAGGAUGAACUCCAGCUUCUUGAACGUUGGGUGAAGGAGACCAGGCUAGACCAGCUACUGUUUGCACGACAGAGGACAACAUUUUGCUAUCUUGCUGCUGCGGCUACCAUGUUCCCUCCUGAACUGUCUGAUGCUCGCAUUUCAUGGGCCAAAAAUUCUAUACUCUUAAAUAUUGUUGAUGACUUCUUCGAUAUUGAGGGGUCAAGAGAAGAACUAGAAAACCUUGUAACACUACUCGAGAAGUGGGAUGAGCACUCCAAAGACGAAUUCUACUCUGAGCAAGUAAAAAUAUUGUUUUAUGCCAUUUACACUACAACGAACCAUCUUGGAACAAUGGCUUCAUUUGUACAAGACCGUGACGUCAAAAAGCACCUAAUAGAAAUUUGGCUACAACUACUGGGGACUAUGAUAACCGACGCAGAUUGGCGGAUGAGACAAUAUGUGCCGACAGUCGAAGAGUACAUGGAAACUGCAAUUGUAUCAUUCACAUUGGCUCCCAUUCUGCUCCCAGCAUCAUAUUUUGUCGGGCAAACACUCUUGGCAUCUGUUGUGAAUGGUCAAGAGUACAAUGAGUUAUUCAGGCUAAUGGGCACUUGUUGCCGACUCCUCAACGACAUUCAAGGCUUUGAGAGGGAGAGCAGCGAGGGAAAACUCGAUAGUGUUUCACUACGUGUUCUCCACAGUGACGGUUCUAUGUCCAUUGAAGCGGCUAAAGAGUCAAUAAGGAGAUCUGUAGCCUCGUGUAGAAAAGACUUGCUGAGGUUGGUCCUUAAGGAAGAUAGUGUUGUUCCUAGGGCAUGCAGGGAGCUGUUUUGGAACAUGUGCAAGAUAUGCCACUUCUUCUACUCUCACACUGAUGCAUUUUCCUCACCAACUGAGAUGGUUAGCACAGUGAACGCAGUUAUCCAUGAGCCACUCAAACUCGAGAUUCGUGAUCUAUCUUUGCCUGUGCAGUCAGAAAAAUAA
rnacentral:rRNA from 1 species